GACGAACGCUGGCGGCGUGCUUAACACAUGCAAGUCGAACGGAAAGGCCCUGCUUGCCGGGUACUCGAGUGGCGAACGGGUGAGUAACACGUGGGUGAUCUGCCCUGCACUUCGGGAUAAGCCUGGGAAACUGUGUCUAAUACCGGAUAGGAGCCAUUUUUAGUGUGAUGGUUGGAAAGUUUUUUCGGUGUAGGAUGAGCUCGCGGCCUAUCAGCUUGUUGGUGGGGUAAUGGCCUACCAAGGCGGCGACGGGUAGCCGGCCUGAGAGGGUGGACGGCCACAUUGGGACUGAGAUACGGCCCAGACUCCUACGGGAGGCAGCAGUGGGGAAUAUUGCACAAUGGGCGCAAGCCUGAUGCAGCGACGCCGCGUGGGGGAUGACGGCCUUCGGGUUGUAAACUCCUUUCGCUAGGGACGAAGCUUUUUGUGACGGUACCUAGAUAAGAAGCACCGGCUAACUACGUG
rnacentral:rRNA from 1 species